ensembl:lncRNA
AUAUAUACCAGAAAUUGUAUUACAUGGCCCAUAAUUGUGGAUUUCUCCCACAGCUCAUUGAAUAUAAUUUCGUUAAGUGGGCAGGAAAACGAGAAUGAACAGAAUGGGAUGCAGUCCAGCAUUUUCUUUGGCACGGGGAGCCAGGUCACGACAGGGCUGGGCGCCCCGCCUCCCAGAACCCGCCCCCGCCCCCGGAAACAGGAACAACAAUUAGAGUUAUGGCCCUUUUCAAGCCCCAGCUAAUGACAGCGAGGAGGAAAAGGGUGGGGGAAAGUGUAACUUUUUGAGAAAAAAAAAUAAGGACUCCAGCUAAGCCGAGAGGUGACUUUGCACCCAUAUGGGAAUCAUAGUUCCCUGACCAGGAAUCAGACCUGUAUCCAAGGUACUGGAAGCGUGGGGUGCUAACCGCUGGACCACCAGGGAAGCCCCAGGAGCUUGCUGAGUGAUGCAGGUCUAGGACGGGACGCGCCUGCUGCAGAGAAUUUGGAUCCGAGCUCACCUCAUGUAAUUGCCACCCAGCCCUCC